rnacentral:lncRNA from 1 species
CUUUACCAAAAUUCUUUUAGUUCGUGUUGUUUCAACAAAUUUUGGGAAGGAAAUAUGAAGAAAUUUUGGAUUAAAGAAAAGAAAUUACCCAAGGUUCGGCUCUGAUACCAAAUUUGAUGCAGCAUCAAUAGAAUAUUAAAUGUAGAAUGAGAAGAACAAUUAAUAGGAAGAAGAAAAUAAGGGGGGAGGGGAUGAAAGAAGAAGAAGAAUCAAUAGAAGGGAAAGAAUAAUGGGGAAGAGAGAGCUUUCACCACAAGCCACCAAUAAUUUUAUUCAAUUAUCAACUAAUGAAAUUACAUGGAAAAGUAAGUUUAAAUAGUAAACCAAACCCUAACUAGAAUGAGCUUGGGCCAAUACAAGCCCAAUAAAAAAUUCACAACAAAAUAAAGCCUACAAAAAUGAAAUAAAGUUCGACUAGAAAUAAAUAAAUAAAUUGGAUGUCCUCAUCACAUACAUUGACCACUUAUGACGUCAUUCAAUUAAUUUUGCCCAAUCACUUGUUGAAAAUAUUCUCAUUUAUUAUCUUAUCCAUUCUAAAAUAGCCAUACAUCCAUCUUAAAUCAUCUCCCUCAUGUUUGUCUAAUGGAAAAUUUACUUGCCUUUUAACUUGACAGGUAUCUUCU